UUAGCUGAUUUCUUCGGAAUGAAAUUAAGCGGAUUAGUGGCGAACGGGUGAGUAACACGUGAGUAACCUGCCUUACACAAGGGGAUAGCCUUUGGAAACGAAGAAUAAUACCCUAUAAAGUCAAAAUAUCGCAUGAUAAAGUGACCAAAGAUUUAUCGGUGUAAGAUGGACUUGCGUCUGAUUAGCUAGUUGGUGAGAUAAAAGCCCACCAAGGCGACGAUCAGUAGCCGGCUUAAGAGAGUGUACGGCCACAUUGGGACUGAGACACGGCCCAAACUCCUACGGGAGGCAGCAGUGGGGAAUUUUGCACAAUGGGGGAAACCCUGAUGCAGCGACGCCGCGUGAUUUAGAAGGCCUUCGGGUUGUAAAAAUCUUUUUUAUGGGAUGAAAAUGACAGUACCAUAAGAAUAAGGUCCGGCUAAAUACGUGCCAGCAGCCGCGGUAAUACGUAUGGACCGAGCGUUGUCCGGAAUCAUUGGGCGUAAAGGGUACGUAGGCGGCCUAGUAAGUUAGAAGUGAAAUAAUAUAGCUCAACUAUAUAAAGCUUUUAAAACUGUUAGGCUUGAGAGAUGAAAGGGAAAGUGGAAUUCCUAGUGUAGCGGUGAAAUGCGCAGAUAUUAGGAAGAAUACCGGUGGCGAAGGCGACUUUCUGGUCAUC
rnacentral:rRNA from 2 species